rnacentral:lncRNA from 1 species
GACUUGGAUAGAAGCUCUUAAUUGAUUUCAAAGUUCUGUGAACAUUAGACCAGGCUCACUAAGUUUAUUAAUUAUUGUAGCUAAACUUUCUAAAUCACUGCAAAAGAUUUUACUUAUUUUUAACAAUCAAGGGAUGUACUUCUUUUUUAUUUAUUUUUAUUUUUAUUUUAUUUUAUUAUAUUUCAAAUGUUAUCCACCUUCCCAGUUUCCCCUCUUCAAACCUACUAUCUCAUCCCCUCUUCCUCUGCCUCUAUGAGGGUACUCCCUCACACACCCAACCACUCCUGCCUGCCUGCCCUGCCAUUCCCCAACACUGGGGCAUUGGGCCUUCACAGGACCAAGAACCACCCCUCCCACUGAUACCAAAUAAGGCCAUCCUCUGCUACAUUUGCAGCUGGAGCCAUGGUUCCCUUCAUGUAUACUCUUUGGUUGGUGGUUUAGUCCCUGAGAGCUCUGGGGGUUCUGUUUGGUUGAUAUUGUUGUUCUUCCCAUGGGAUGGCAAACCCCUUUAGCUCCUUCAGUCCUUCCCUAACUCCUCCAUUGGGGUCCCAUUGUUCAGUCUGGUGGUUGGCUGUGAGCAUCUGCAAUCUGUAUUAGUCAGGCAGAGCCUCCAUAGAGAUGUACUUCUAAAUGUACCAUGAUAUUCUGAUCUUUCUAUUAUUAUUAUAAGCAAGCCAGCUCAUUCAGUCAACAAUGUCUCAAGGGAGGGAGGAUUAAAAAGAAAAAGACAAUUAGACAUUAUAACAUGACUCCAGACAGCGCUGACACUAAAGCAGGUUUAUUUUUUCCCAGUCAGCUUUUAUACCUUCUAGGUCCUUGCAGAGAACAGGGUCAAUUUUUAAAUCAAAGUAAUCAAGAAAGGCUAUGAACAAAGAGAUCACACCAGGUAGGAAUCAGCCAAAGCAAUAAACAAAGUAUCCUGAGUCAUCAUUUCUAGGGAUUACCAAGACAAAAGCAAAGUCACACCUUCCUUGACUGUAUUUGCCUCAAUCCUAGCAUCAGCCCAAAUGCAAUGCUGUUACUGAUCCUACUGAGCCCAGUGACAAGUACUGGCCAAAUUUCUAUAAACAGCACCAAAAGCUCUCCACCUUAUUAGAUAAAUCAACUAUUUGUAGGAAUGUUAUCAUUUUGUAGUAUUUUAAAUCAACUUAAAUAUAAUAUAGAUGAAAUGACUUUUUUUUAGUUACAAUAUGAAAUGGUUUGGUUUAAAAAUUCCCCUUAUUAUUUAAUAAGGUUUAUUAAUAACAUAUGGCUAUGUAUAUCAAUUUGUAUUAUAUUAUAUUUUUAUUAUUUAAAAUAAUUUUAAAUUUAAAUAUAUUUUUACAAUUCUUCCACUCCCCAAAUUUUUUCAUAUCCUCUGACCCUCUCUACCUACCCAACUUUAAGUUCUUCCUCAAAAUAAAACCAAAAAACUUAUAGCAAAACCCCCAAAACAAGAAAAUAAAAUAAAAUUACAC